rnacentral:rRNA from 1 species
GAUGAACGCUGACAGAAUGCUUAACACAUGCAAGUCUUUGGCGAAGCUGUGCUUGCACAGCCUAGCCAAGGCGGACGGGUGAGUAACGCGUAAGGAACUUGCCCUGCAGUCAGGGAUAACAGACGGAAACGACUGAUAAGACCUGGUAAAGUCAGGCGGACUCAUGUCCAGCCUGAUGAAAAGUGAUGCUGCAGGAGAGCCUUGCGUCCUAUUAGCUUGUUGGUGGGGUAACGGCCCACCAAGGCGACGAUAGGUAGCCGGCCUGAGAGGGUGGACGGCCACAAGGGGACUGAGAUACGGCCCUUACUCCUACGGGAGGCAGCAGUGGGGAAUAUUGGACAAUGGGGGCAACCCUGAUCCAGCAAUUCUGUGUGCACGAUGAAGGUUUUCGGAUUGUAAAGUGCUUUCAGCAGGGAAGAAAAAAAUGACGGUACCUGCAGAAGAAGCGACGGCUAAAUACGUG